rnacentral:rRNA from 1 species
CCUACGGGGGGCAGCAGUGGGGAAUAUUGGACAAUGGGGGCAACCCUGAUCCAGCCAUGCCGCGUGUGUGAAGAAGGCCCUCGGGUUGCAAAGCACUUUCAGUGAGGAAGAACGCCUGGUGGUUAAUACCCAUCAGGAAAGACAUCACUCACAGAAGAAGCACCGGCUAACUCCGUGCCAGCAGCCGCGGUAAUACGGAGGGUGCGAGCGUUAAUCGGAAUUACUGGGCGUAAAGCGCGCGUAGGUGGCUUGAUAAGCCGGUUGUGAAAGCCCCGGGCUCAACCUGGGAACGGCAUCCGGAACUGUCAAGCUAGAGUGCAGGAGAGGAAGGUAGAAUUCCCGGUGUAGCGGUGAAAUGCGUAGAGAUCGGGAGGAAUACCAGUGGCGAAGGCGGCCUUCUGGACUGACACUGACACUGAGGUGCGAAAGCGUGGGUAGCAAACAGGAUUAGAUACCCCUGUAGUC